CCGGGCUGGAGCGGAGGCAGAGGAAGGCGCAGCCGCUGCCCCCAGGCCGCGGCGGCGGCGGGGCCCAGGUGCGGCGCAGAGCGUGAGCGAGGCCGAGGAGCUCGGGAGCCGCGAGCGAGGCGUGAGCGGCUGCAGGGCUGCUGUGUCCGCGAGGUGGAAUUGACGGACCAGGCCAGGAGCAUUUUGAUGGAAUCGUUGGUGGCUGAGUUUCACCUGUUGAAAGGCGUCUGGGAGUGGGCCAUCUCAACUGGGGCGGCUAGGGCAUCGGCACACCGGUUGCCCUCCGCGAUGAACCCCGGUAGGUCAGUGUGUGACCUCACAUGCAUAACAUAGAAGGGUUGUUCUCGGUGGGAGACUAGAUCUG